GCAUAAUGAAUGUCAUAAAACUGUAAAACAGUGUAGCUUUUCUUGAAACUUCUGAGUUAGAAUGUAUUUGUCUCACUUGUUCUAUAUUUUAUACUGUAAUCUUGUAAGUAAUAAGUAAUUUAUGGUGAAUAGACUGCCCAUUACAAAAAUAGACAGCACAAAACUUUUCAAAGAAGUUAAUACAAAUAAUGCAAAUAACCAUAUCCAGGGGAGGAAGAAAAUAAUGUGACAAGCUCACACAUUAGAGUUCUUUUUGUUUAUAGAAUGUUUCCAAGUUAAGAAAUUCUUAGUGAAAAUAAAUCAUGUCAUUACUUAAGAGGAGGUGCUUCAGUACACACUACUCCAUGCCUUCUCACGUAUCAGCAGAACUCAGAGACAGUUCACCGCAAUAUAACUCUGUCUGGCAGUUUUGCAAAUUCCUGAGAUUGAGCUUCUACAGAACUGCUAUUGAAUCAUGUCAAUAUUUAAUCAGCACCUAAAGACUGCUGGAAAUAAAUAUUUAGAGACAGUGCUUCUAUUUUAUUGUUUCAGUGCACUGAAGAAGUAGGGAAGAAUGCACUUCUGCAUCACCCUUUGAUUUGAUGCAAUUUAAAUUCUCAGUGCUUAUUCUUGCAAGUGAGGAAGAGAUUAAGAACUGGACUCCAAGAUUUUACAAGCUGUAAUGAAGUGACUAAGUGAAGAAUUUCAUUUUUCAAUCUUUUAUUCAGGCAAACGUCUGUUAAAGUCACUGGUAAGUUUAUCUUCAGCUGAAUAUUGAUAGCAGCAUACUUCAACUGCCUCUACUUUACUUCUAUGCACAUAUCCAUUUAUUAUAUUAAAAAGAACAAAUGCAAAAUGAAACAACAUGUGAUGAAGAGUAUAAGCACUCCAGAGAAAGAUAAUGCAUUUUAGUCAUGUCAGCUGUUCUCAAAAUAUGCAUUUGGAAAUCAGAAAAUUCUCAUCGUAAACCAGUAUAUUGGUUUCAGUUCAAAUAAUAUUCUUCUUUACAUUUGAGAUUUAAACCUGGACCUGUGUCGCCUCCAUUCUCGGAAAACUGUGAUCAUUGUUUUGGUUUGUGAAGAGCUGGGAAAAGGGAAGAAACCAAAUAAAUAUUCUAACUGCACUCAUACAAAGAUAUUUUUAAGUAUAAUGUAAAUAACUAAGUGGAUCUGACAGUGUUUAUACUUGGAUCAUGAACAAAAAGAAAAUAGGAAGAAUGUAGUGUAAAGAAAUUUUAAAUGUAUGUCAGAGUAUUGCUCAAAACCUGUGAAAGAUUUGAUCUGUGAAAGCAAAAGAAAGAACAAGUCAAAAGCCAUUAUAGACAGUUAAAAUUUUAAAAAUUAAAACAGUAUAAAAACACCAAGAGAAAGAAGUGAGAAUGAUUGAUUGAUUAAAAUAAACAGUAGGUUUAUAUCAGUCUUUAAUUGCUUCCAGACAGAUGCUUUACUGUAUAUCCUCUAAAGUAAUCCCAAGUUUUUGAAGACAACUCUAUACCACUUGUCCUUUGUACCAUAUAGUAAAAAUUCUGACCAAAGUUACGAUCAUACAGAGUACAAAAAAAGAUUCCAUCAACACUGAGGUCAAUCUACAGUAGUCCUGACAUACCACAAAUCUUGUCUCGUUCGUCAUACUUGGAAAAGCUGUGUAAGGGUUCUUCUCACAUCCAUGCCUCUCUUUAGGUGGAGAAUGGCAAGCAUGGUAUACUGGAUAGACUUGAAAUGUGACAUAAGCAUAUACGGUACCAGAGAAAAAAACCUAGAAGAAUUUUACCAUAAGGUACAAUAGCAUUUUCUUGAAAUUAUGUGCUUAUAUGCCAUGACGUUUUUAAGGCAACUGUGACAAAUUUACCAGCUGAAGACAACGUUUCCUAUGCCUUGCAAAUAUAAUUGCAGGUUUGUUACCUAGUGCCAAAUAUAAGUCUUCAUAGCAAGAAUGAGCCACAUAGGUGAAUUUCAAAUAAGAACGCAUGCAGAAUUUGGGGAUUUAAUAUGUAGCAUUAGUGCAUCUGUGUAUACUAUUGAACAUGCUAUAGUUCGGAAGGGGGUAGGAAAAGAUAUUUAAAGACCUUUUUGACUUCAGUAUACAAAACAAACUUCUACUCUGGAUGAGGAUUUCAUUCUUGUUCCCCUGUUCUCUCUUCUGUUGCCAUUUGCUCUUCAAAGUUCCAUCCUCAUUUAUAUAAAGAUAGCAGGUGUUGUUUUUCUUAUGAAUGUGAGUUAGCCUUCUAGAGCUGUUAGUCAUGAGCUUUAAAGAACUCUGACUCCAUGAUAAUUAUUUUUUACUGAAAUAUCUCUCUUUUCUGUUAGAUCAUUCAUUAUUUCUAAAUAGAAAUAUUUUGUUCCUUUGCAUAUUUAACAACAAAUGAGACUCUUAGGUGUCACAGAUAGAGGGCUCUAAGCACUUUGGUCACCAACCUCAUGAACAAGGACUGAAAUUCUUUAUGGUAAGACAACCGAUAGAAAAGUUGGCCACUGGGAGGAGUCGGGCCUGAAUAUUAAAUUUUACAAAGCCAAAAGCCUUAACAUUCUCCAGGCAGGCAUUUUCUGAGAAUAAUAGUGCUUUGAUGAAACUUGGCUAUUCACACUAAAUUAAAGUGCAGCACCACAUCUGUUAGUGCUGUGUGCCAUGAAAAUAUGGUCUCUCACAAUCUACAAUAGUAAUGCUAUAAACCUCUUUUCCUGAACUUUUCUCAAUAUAUUGGUCUACAGUACUGUGAUUUGUAUCGUCACUAUGGGGUUCCAGGUCUGUUCUUCCUGGUUGAUACCCAAAAACUUGAGAAUUUUCAGCCUCUUUUUUCAGGUACUCACAGUGAAAAUAUGUUGAAUGCGCCUAAUUAGUCUUUCACAUACUCUGAGUACUAUAGAAAUGGGAACUCGCAUUUGAUCUGGAAAAAAAAGGAUGAACAGUUUGGCCUGAGGGAGGACAACGAGCACCUGCGGCACAUGGGAUUUUGCUGUGAGCAAUUGUAACAAUUGCUUACUGACCCAUAUGUUGAGGAAAAGAACGCUGCAAGCAACUGACUCAGAAACUUUAACAUUCUGAAUCCAUCCCAAAUGCAGGUUUCUGUGCAGUCUGAAGCUCCACACGACUAGCCCCCUGGUCAGAUAUAAAAAGCAAUCGACGUCACACAACCAGAACUUCCAUUUCAAGAUGAUAAUCCUUAUGUAGACAUUUUCUGUGGCAUUGUUAGUUCAACAUUUGAGUUACUUCAGCUCUCCAACUUUACCAGUUUAGCUUGUAUAAUUUUCUGGGCUCUUGUCAAAGUAGGAGUGUAUGAGACUAAACAGCCCCACACUAAUUUGUCAACUGAGUGUUUUAAAAUAAUUUUUAAAGUGAUGCUUUUUAGAGGUGCCUGGAUUCCAAGGGUCAAGUAGAUAUGAAAAAGCUCUGUUGAGAUGAGGGAGAAGCACUCUAGUUUUCAGUCUUUCUCAAAAUCAUUUGGGAUUUGAACACUUUUCAUAACGCAAUAUAGUCAAUUAUGUCUACUUAGUGCCCACUUAAUUCAGUGAAUCCAUUAUACUAUCUUCAGCUAAAUUUUUUUGCAUGUGGGUGAAUUUUGUGACCAUUACUCACAGAUUUUGAGAGAAAAUUGGCCAGACUCUUUGAAACUUGCAGGACAAACAGUGCGCAUGUUUUAAUCCAGGAACAAAUCAAUUAUAGAAGAAAUGGAUUAUAGAAGAUUGUGAAAGAGCAGGUCUGUUAAAGCAACUUUGUGAGAAUCUGUGUAUUUCCUUUAACUACAUUACUGUAAGCUAAAUUUUAUCCACUUAAGCUUACACGGUCUAUCCUUCAGAAAGUUGCUCUACUUGGCUUUUCUCAGAUGUAAUCAGAACUGCUCUGCGUUUCCCUAAUUACAAACACAUUUCUUUCUCCAUGCAAUAUCCCUAAGUAUGCAGCAACCUUCCUCUUGCCAAAGCUUUCUGGCAUUUUCAUUCCAGUUAGAAUCCAAAUCUACAUUUUUCUGUGAGAAAAGCUGUAGGAAAGACUGUAAACAGGAUAAUUAUGUAGCAGUGCAGUUUAAAAUGAAAGUUUUACUUGCACAUCAUAUUGAACGUAUGGUUUUUACUUCCUAAUGAGCUGUAGAGAUGCAACGCUAUUCUUCCUGAAACACAAAUGUGUUUUCAUUAAAGCAAAUUGCAAGAAUUCUUAGAUGAUUUUAAGCACAAGGUAUAAGGAAGAGAAAUACAAAGCUGCAUGGCUUGUCACAAAAGAUACCACCAAUCACUGCAGUGGUCUAAGAUACCUAAUCUGUGUCCACUUUGUGUGGCCUCUUUUAUCUCUGCCUAUGGAAUAGCUCUGGAAAGGAACCAACCAACCAACCAAAAAAAAAAAAAAAAAAAAAAAAACCUGUGAAGAAUUAAAAAAGUAGCCUAUUUUCCUUUACCAAAGCCAAAAGCACCUCGUGUUAGAAGAUUAUUUCAGGAUCAGGGAAAAUAUUCAGAAGCAUAUUUCAGGAGGUGAGUUAAGUCAGAGCUCGAUCAAGAACUGUUACUGAUUUUUUGAAUGAAAAUCUCUAGUGAUGUGCUAGAACAGAAAAUCUGCGGGUUUUUUCCACAGAUUUUCUGGAUGAGUUUUGUACUUAAGAAAACUCAUCUGAAAGUUAGUGGAAAAGUAGUUGGAGGUUUUUGUAUUUUUUUGUUCAUUUGGAAGUUAUUAAAAUAUUGGCUGAUACAUCAACCACUGCUGGUUGUAUUCAGUAACGUAUCAUUUUAAACAGUACUCACUCACCUCUCUGUUAAUUAUAGACAUUGAAAUAAGUUAGCUUACUUGUCUAUUCCACUCAGGAGGAGAAAAACACAGUAUGUACUUGUGCAUUGUUCAGAAGUGUAAGCCAACUGCUUAGAAGUAUAAAUUGAAAUUUUUAAAUAGUACUCAUUCAAAACAUUUCGACCGCUGACUAUACUUGAUAUAUCAAAUAAGAAUACUCACUUUCACCAACAGAAUUUAAGAGGGUAAUUCACAAUAACAAACCUGCAAAAUAAUUUUAGAUGAAAAAUUGUGAACACGGUAGUUCCUCAUUAUAGCUCAUGCAAUGGAAAUGCAGGCAUUUUUGAGCAAAAUUUGUCAUGCUCUCAGCUGUUCUAAUGCUUGGCCAAUUCUCCUUGAAUCUGUGCUGAAACUCAAUAACAAACAUCCUCCUCUUGCUCAAGUGGGUAAAUGACCUCUGCUUUUGAAGUGAAAUGAUCUGAAUUACGUUCCCACCUCAGGCAUUAAGUGUCUGGAAGCACUGAUAUAUAGCUCAAUGAUAAAUAGUAUGUUAGUGGAUAGCCUGUUUUUUAACUAAUAACUGAACAGUUCUUGUAGGAUCAGACUAAUUCAGACUUGUUUCCAUUAGAGUGUUUCUCAGGAGUGAUGACCAGUCAGUUUACCUGCCUCUAAAAAAAAAAAAACAUGAUUGUAGCCAAACCUAUCUGUUUCUUCCUCUGGUGCAUUCUGUUUUGCAUGUGGAUUAACAAGUACUGAUAUUAUAUCAGAGAAGUACUCAUGGGGCUGUCCCUUGCACUGUCCAGAUUAACUGCUUAUCCACACAAAUACAGCAGCAAAAUUAAUUUAGGUAUUUAAGUAUUCUUAUUAAAUUAUUUCCCAUCACUAGAAUUAGUUGUUCAUAUCUGCAUUAGCAGAAACUAGUAUAACAUCAGCAGGUAGCAGAAAACUUACUAGUAAGUGACUGUAUUCAUAUGUAACUUUAAACAGUAUUCAUUCAGCUUUCUAUUGAGUAUAGAUGUUGAGAUCAUACCUUUCUUGAUCUCUUCUACUUAAAUGAAGAUUAAAUAAUAGCCUAACAUCUGAGAAUAGCAAUAAUAAAAAUAAAAUUUUGUUUUGUCUUGGCCCAUAAAGUAGAUGUUGAAAUUCUGUAUGGGGAGAUGCCUUUUUAUGUACAAAACCACGUAAGAAGAGGCAUGGAACCACUGCCAUCUCUUCAAUGAUACGUGUAUAAAUGUUGCAAGGGUAUUUUGCAAAAGUUAUUCAAGCAAUUCUCUUCAUAUAUGCUUGCCAAUGUGCCCCUAACGAGGCAGAUGUGGCUCUAUAGGUACAGCUGCUGGCCAUAAGUAGAGAUGAGAGCAAGAUUUUAAAGAACCUAGAGCAUAACUGAGCCCAUCUUCUCUCACUAGAUAAAUGCUUCCUCUCUGAUUUUCUCUAAGCUUCAGCUCCUGCAUCACAGAUGUUUGGUAGGCAGUUGGAGGGAAAGAAUCAAGUGGGGACAUAACCUAAAUAUGAACAAAUACAUAAAAGAACAACCCCCUACACAAGUGUAAUGUAAAAAUAUCAGUGGUUUACAUUGCAUUCUAGCAAGAGAAGAAGGGCAGCUCUCUGAAUGCAUACAGUAUAUAAAGCAGAAUAAAAAGUUUCCUAAUGCUCAGUAUAAGUGUUUUGCAUUUAAAAUGCUAUAGAUAAUAUGAAAGGCUUGCAAAGCAAUUUACAGUCCUUCUCCAAAUUUUUUGUCAUCACUCAGGUAUCUGCAGCACAGAUCUCUUAAAUAUCUCUUAAGAUGUAGGUGGCUAACUAGCAAUUUGGAAAGAAGCCAGUUAAGAUGAAGAAUGGAAAAGAAAACUCAAGAGAUCCUGAUUUACAGUUCUUUAAUCUGUCUCCCAGUAUUGCAACGACAAAUAUUAAUGAAGAAUGCCCUCUUUGAUAUGGAGAUAUCUCCAACAGCAGUUGGUGUCCAUGGAGACAAUGUAGAAAUAAACAAGGACA
rnacentral:lncRNA from 1 species